UGGAAUUCGAAGGGCAUGAAUGGAGGGCAAAGGGGAGAAACAUGUCAAGAGGAAGGUGCAUCAAGUCAGCCCUGACCGGGACUGCCUUCCACCUGGAAACCGAUGUCCUCAYUAUGACAGAACAUGUGGAUCAAGUAUUGGUUUCUAUGGUCACCUAUGGACCCACUGCCAAGACACUACACUUGGAAGACAAUCAUACUCGGACACAAGUGAUGAUCACCAGUGAUGAUGAUGACUGUACUCAAAAGUAAAUAAAUGAAAGUUUCAGCCAUAGCGUAUUGGAGCACCUGCAGAGUUGAAUGAGGCAGAAGAGCAUGGAAGGAGAAGUGAGAGGCAGCAAGAAGUUUUGAAGAUGCUGGUGUCCUGAGCUGUCUCCUGAACUUUUGGAAUCCUUGAAUCUUGGACUGGCUUUUGACUAUGGUACAGACUCCUGAUCCCUGGACUUUGUUGAUUGAACUCUUGGCAUUUGACCACUGGACUGGACCUUUUGGACUACGGUGUUAUCUUGAACCUGCAACAGUGUUUGCUGUCAUUUUUUGUUUAUUCUGUGACUGAGUGCUAUCUUUAUGUUUUAUAUUUUGGACUAUUAAAACAGCCAGGA